UACGUAGGGGGCAAGCGUUGUCCGGAAUUAUUGGGCGUAAAGAGCUCGUAGGCGGUUCGUCACGUCGGCUGUGAAAACCUGAGGCUCAACCUCAGGCCUGCAGUCGAUACGGGCGGACUUGAGUACUGCAGGGGAGACUGGAAUUCCUGGUGUAGCGGUGAAAUGCGCAGAUAUCAGGAGGAACAUCGGUGGCGAAGGCGGGUCUCUGGGCAGUAACUGACGCUGAGGAGCGAAAGCAUGGGGAGCGAACAGG
rnacentral:rRNA from 1 species